rfam:Neonectria ditissima strain R09/05 contig_11, whole genome shotgun sequence.
GCCCUGUUGGCUCAGUGGUAAAGCGCGUCACUAGUAAUGAUGAGAUCACUGGUUCGAUUCCAGUACAGGGCA